UGUACCUGUAUAAAGGGAAGCCGGGUUUUCUCGUUGGAUUAUUUCCUCCCGAGCUUCUGGUGCGAUACAGCGGUAGACGCUGGCUUGUUGGUUAAAUUACUGAGGCGAUCAGGUCAUGUGAUUGCUACAGCGCGGCUGUUUUUCUUUCCUUUGCUCCAGCCGUGGUGAGGAGACGCGUGAGUGCAUCCGCCGUGCAGUACAGCGCCUCCAAGUUCUGGGGGUUUGAUUGCUGCCGUGCCCUCUCGGGGACCAACCGCCUGCUUUGGUUACGUAGAGAGUCGGGCGCCUGCUCUGCUGCUGUCUUGUUUUGUUGAUCUUGUUUGUUUGAUUUUGU